GAGCGAUCAAGUGCCUUAAGAGCAUCUGGUGGAUGCCUUGGCGCUGAGAGGCGAUGAAGGACGUGGUACGCUGCGAUAAGCCUUGGGGAGCUGCGAACGAGCUUUGAUCCGAGGAUCUCCGAAUGGGGAAACCCACCUUCAGCCACCGUAUCGUGGAUCCAGUUCGCUGGGUCUGCGCUACGAUGGUUUACGAAGGUAUCAAAUCCUGAAUUCAUAGGGGUUUGAAGCGAACCCGGGGAACUGAAACAUCUCAGUACCCGGAGGAAAGGACAUCAACGAGACUCCGUCAGUAGUGGCGAGCGAACGCGGACCAGGCCAGCGCCUGGCAUGACGCUUACCGGAACGGCCUGGAAUGGCCGGCAGGAUGGGUGACAGCCCCGUACGGGACAAGCCAAUGCCAGGACACGAGUAAGGCGGGACACGUGAAAUCCUGUCUGAAGAUGGGGGGACCACCCUCCAAGCCUAAGUACUCCUCAGCGACCGAUAGCGAACCAGUACCGUGAGGGAAAGGUGAAAAGCACCCCGACGAGGGGAGUGAAACAGUUCCUGAAACCGGAUGCUUACAAACAGUGGGAGCCCAAGGUUCGUCCUGGGUGACUGCGUACCUUUUGUAUAAUGGGUCAGCGACUUAAAGUAACGAGCAAGCUUAAGCCGGUAGGCGAAGGCGCAGCGAAAGCGAGUCUGAACAGGGCGUUCAGUUCGUUGCUUUAGACCCGAAACCAGGUGAUCUAGCCAUGCGCAGGAUGAAGGUGCGGUAACACGCACUGGAGGUCCGAACCAGUGCCCGUUGAAAAGGUCUUGGAUGACGUGUGGUUAGGGGUGAAAGGCCAAUCAAACCUGGACAUAGCUGGUUCUCCGCGAAAGCUAUUUAGGUAGCGCCUCGAGCGAAUGCCGUGCGGGGUAGAGCACUGGAUGGGCUAGGGCCGCCCACAGCGGUACCGCACUCAACCAAACUCCGAAUACGCACGAGCACUACUCGGGAGACACACGGCGGGUGCUAACGUCCGUCGUGAAGAGGGCAACAACCCUGACCGACAGCUAAGGCCCCCAAUUCGUGGCUAAGUGGGAAAGGAUGUGGGACUCCCAAAACAACCAGGAGGUUGGCUUAGAAGCAGCCAUCCUUUAAAGAAAGCGUAACAGCUCACUGGUCUAGCCAAGGGGUCCUGCGCCGAAAAUGUAACGGGGCUCAAGCCACGAGCCGAAGCUUCGGGUGUCCCGGACUUGAUCCGGGACGCGGUAGCGGAGCGUUCCGUAAGCCUGUGAAGGGAGACCCGUGAGGGCUCCUGGAGGUAUCGGAAGUGCGAAUGCUGACAUGAGUAACGACAAAGAGUGUGAAAGACACUCUCGCCGAAAGUCCAAGGGUUCCUGCGUAAAGUUAAUCUGCGCAGGGUCAGCCGGCCCCUAAGGCGAGGCCGAAAGGCGUAGUCGAUGGGAAUGGGGCGAAUAUUCCCCAGCCAGUGGAUGGUGACGGAUGCCGUGUAUCGUCUGGCCUUAUCGGAUUGGCCGGGCGGUGAAGGGGUCCCAGGAAACAGCCUCCACAUCAAGACCGUACCCGAAACCGACACAGGUGGACUGGUAGAGCAUACCAAGGCGCUUGAGAGAACGAUGCUGAAGGAACUCGGCAAUCUGCCUCCGUAACUUCGGGAUAAGGAGGCCCUGUUCGUGCGCAAGCAUGAGCAGGGGGCACAGACCAGGGGGUGGCGACUGUUUAUCUAAAACACAGGACUCUGCGAAGUCGAGAAGACGACGUAUAGGGUCUGACGCCUGCCCGGUGCCGGAAGGUCAAGAGGAGAGGUGAGAGCCUUGAAUCGAAGCCCCGGUAAACGGCGGCCGUAACUAUAACGGUCCUAAGGUAGCGAAAUUCCUUGUCGGGUAAGUUCCGACCUGCACGAAUGGCGUAACGAUCUCCCCGCUGUCUCCAGCAUCGGCUCAGUGAAAUUGAACUCCCCGUGAAGAUGCGGGGUUCCUGCGGUCAGACGGAAAGACCCCGUGCACCUUUACUGUAGCUUUGCGCUGGCCCUCGUGUCGGCAUGUGUAGGAUAGGUGGUAGGCACUGAAGUUCGGGCGCCAGCCUGGAUGGAGCCGUCCUUGAAAUACCACCCUUGACGUUAUGAGGGUCUAACCGCGAUCCCUGAUCUGGAUCCGGGACCGCGCAUGGCAGGCAGUUUGACUGGGGCGGUCGCCUCCCAAAGCGUAACGGAGGCGUGCAACGGUAGGCUCAGACCGGUCGGAAAUCGGUCGUCGAGUGCAAUGGCAUAAGCCUGCCUGACUGCGAGACGUACAUGUCGAGCAGAGACGAAAGUCGGUCAUAGUGAUCCGGUGGUCCCGCGUGGGUGGGCCAUCGCUCAACGGAUAAAAGGUACGCCGGGGAUAACAGGCUGAUGACCCCCAAGAGUCCAUAUCGACGGGGUCGUUUGGCACCUCGAUGUCGGCUCAUCACAUCCUGGGGCUGGAGCAGGUCCCAAGGGUUCGGCUGUUCGCCGAUUAAAGUGGUACGUGAGCUGGGUUCAGAACGUCGUGAGACAGUUCGGUCCCUAUCUGCCGUGGGUGUAGGAGUUCUGAGAGGAUCUGUCCCUAGUACGAGAGGACCGGGAUGGACGAACCUCUGGUGGACCUGUUGUGGCGCCAGCCGCAGUGCAGGGUAGCUAUGUUCGGUCGGGAUAACCGCUGAAGGCAUCUAAGCGGGAAACCCCCCUCGAAACGAGAACUCCCUCGAGAGCCGUGGAAGACGACCACGUGGAUAGGCUGGAUGUGCAAGCGCGGUAACGCGCUGAGCUGACCAGUACUAAUCGCUCGAUCGGCUUGAUCGCUCUCAUGAU
rnacentral:rRNA from 1 species